AAAAGAAAACAAACCACUUUGGAAAAAAGGUCCACUGGAAAUUCUUAAAUAUAUCGAAACAAAUUCGUACGUUAUCGCGAAUGCCGAUCCAAAUUACCAGUUCCAAUUACAAAAAGAAAUGUCUAAAAUUCGAGCACUCAGAAAUCAGAUCACACACGAAAAUAUAGAAAAUUCUGAAACAUUGAAAGAAUUACUUGACCGAAUGAAGAACGUCUGCGAAUUGUCGGUCAAAAUGAACGUGAAAGUGCGACCAAGUGAGUUUGCUUCCAGAUGUGAGAUUGAAUUCAACAACGCAAAUGACGAGCAAACUAGUUUUUUGUAUUAAAGGAUUAACAAUGUGCUCAUUUCGCUACCAAAGUAACCUGCCAAUUCCUGCAUAACUGAUGUGUUAAACGCCAGCAUAAGAAACUUAGCCUUUUAGUAGGACCUACUCUUUACAUAUCACCUUUUUGAGUUCAUUACAUUCAAUCUUAAUCCUUAUAAAUUAUCUCUGCACUUUAUUUUCACUGUUCCUAGUGAGGUCCUUCAUUCUCCAUAUUCCUCUAUACUUUGUUUCUUUCCUUCAUUUUUUUGCACUCAUCAACGCUACUGCUUCUGUACUCCUUUUAUUUUAGUCAUACAAUUGGCUCCUAGAUGGCUUUGAUCUCCUACAUUCCCAGUUUUAGUUACGUAGAAAAUAGGACGGAAACGCCAGUACGCAACGUUAUUGAAUUUUACAUUAAUUUUUUUAACAUUUUAAAUUAUUAUCAUCGAUAAAAAUAGUCCUUGUUAUGGAAUAGAUUAUUAAGUUUCAACUCAAAACUAAAUUCUAAGCCAUGUGCCUGAACUCGUCAAAGUGUUGUAAAUUUUCCUUAAAUCUCUUUACAGAAGAAAAAAUUAGUCUCGCUCAGAAGCUUAGACGGAAUGCCCACAAAAUUCGAAUUUGUCUCUUGGCUCUUUUGUUGUCAACUUGCUGUACGUGAUGGAAUCUAUUCACAUCCGAAUAAGCAAAGAAUUUAUGCGUCUGGGCUAAAGGACCCCCAUAACACACACAAACAAAAUUUUCUUUCGUUAAAUUUUUGAAAUUCCCUGAAAAAUAAUCCCUCCAAAUAAAAAUUUUAAUUCGAUUAAAAUAUUUUUUUUAAAACAACAUUCGGCUUGGAUGGAUCGAUGACGAGUGAAUAAAUCAUUUUUAGCGCCCGAGUCCAAAUAACUUUGCAUGACGCAUUGCGCGGCUGAGCUGAGUGCUGACCCGCAAGUUUAUGUUACGGUCUCCAUGGCGACCGGGUUUAUUUGCUCGAACAAUAUAAUAAUAAAUUGAUGGUUGUCCAUAAAAUUCUUUUAUUUUAUUUUUAGUAUAGAAAAAUAAAUUUAUUAGUGACCAAAUCAAUGGCUCGUGUCCGAAAUACAAGAAAAUACAGAGCUAGACAAGACCAGUAGUAGAAAAGAAUAUAAGAAAAAGCCCAACAACCGUGUUUCCUCCCUUAAGGGCCUUAACGAAUCAUUAACGAAAUAAAGAAAGAAGAAAAAAAGAAAGAAGCCCCCAACAACAAUUGGAAAGAUAAGCCUCGGGCCAUGUUUCCUCGCAACAACCAGAAGCUCGUUAUUACAUCUAUCGCCAGUUUCUUCAAAUGAAUUGCUGUGGAGAAG